GAGCAUGUUGGGAGCAUUCAGGGACAUGGCGAGGCCCACUUCGCGAGCCCUGGCCGUGAGCACAGCGCAUCUGCAGGUCCUUUCUCCUGCUUUUCCCUUUCCCCUCCUGCUUUUCCUGGCGACAGGGUGAUCAGAGACGGGGAACGAGGAGCCUCCCAGAGCCUUUCUCCCCUUGGCAGCCUCCGGCCGCAUCCGAGACCUCGGCCCAGCAAACGCAGCCUCCCUGCGUGGCACAGAGCUCUACCGGAAAGAUGCAGGUUUGGGAGAGAAGCAAGAUCUUCCGUCCCAAGCGUGGAACGACUGUGCUCGGAACUGGGAACCCAGGACACAGAAUGAAUGGCUGACCUGCCUCGUACGCUGUGGACAUUUGCUCUCGAGGCCCGGGAUGUCCGCUGCCCAGCAGCUGCAAGCCGGCCCGCCGGUGUUCCCUAAAGAUCAGGACGGAUGGGGAAAAGCGCCCUUCUUAGGUGAAAGCAUCAGCUCGUUUCUAUGCGUCAGCACUGGGAGAAGGUUCUUCGGCAACCGAGGAGGAAUGAGGAGGACUCAGACGGAUUUCGAAGAAUGGCAUGACUAAUGUACAAACAAGAGCGAAAGGGAGUGUGGGAAAAACUCAGGGACACUGAAGACUGCAGUGGGUUGAAAACAAAUCAGAACGUGAGUUCUCCCACUUGAGUGCGAGCAGAAUUUGUUUUUCAGAAGUAAUUUUUAAGGAUUCACUUGGAGAAGGAAGAGGGGUUUUCCUUUACGCUUUUGGAUCGGAUGGCUCUGUGUCGCGAACGGUUUUCUCGCGGCCCUCAAGAAUUUGUUUGGUACCCACUUGUUCAAAACCCAAGGGCAAACAGCCAAGUCCCCUGAAAGCUGUCUGCCCGGGACUACGGGAGUCAGUUUGAAACGUCUUCUUUUUAAGAAGGUGGCAGAAUUACAUAAUUAUUCACAGCUCAUAAGAAAUUAAAAUACCUCUUCCAAAUAUGAAGUCGCGAGAUAACACAAACCACAAGUCCUAGACUCUCGGAGGGCGUGUGCCUCGCUUGUGCUCCCACACACAAACCCACAGCCGACCGUCUGCGCUGAGAGCACGUGGCCCCACCGAGAGCACGUGGCCACGCUGACCUGGCUUCCCUCGUGUUCCUCCGCACACAGGAGGGCUCUUGCCCACGGCCUCCCUUGGCGAUGCCAAGGGACCGAAGAUGCCAAAUGCUUGAGAGGCGGGAGGUCACCACAAGGCACCUGGGACCACAGACGCACUCUCUUCCACUCAUGGCCAGGGUGCACGAGGUGAGGAACCACCGAGAAAGUCCUAACACCAGGGCGCAGGGCGAUGGGUGGGGUGGAGGGGCGCUGGAGGAACCAUCGCAUAGGCCCCAGCAUAACUUUAAAAAUCCCAGCACCUCAUUUAACCAGAUUCAUUCUGCAAGCUGAUUGUUGCCUUUGGUGGAUACCGUGUCACUCAGUCUCAUUUUAAGGAUCUGCCUUGCAUCUAUCCAGGACGGGGAACCCCAGGGUUCCAAGGCCAAGCAGCUGGGUUCUUGCCUGCAAGGGGCUUAUCUCACUAGCUGGGCGGUCAGAUGCAUGAACCACCAGGAGCUGGGCUGGUACAGUGCCCGGUGGUCAGGAAAGAACGUGCAGGGAGGGCAGGGGCCGGAAGCACCAGGGGUUUGAGCCCUGCAGUGUGCAGUGCGUGUGAGCCGAGGCUAGAGGACCUGGGAGAACUUCCUGUUUGGUAAAAGGCACGGAGGGUGCAGGGCUGCAGAGGUGGGGGGACCUGGUGACUUUGGGGGGCUUCGUGUGCUGUCUUGAGGGGUUGGGACUGCCCAGGGGGUCCUGGUGACCAUUGCCAAAGCAAUGUAUGGGUGACAGAAGCCUUACUGUGUUGGGCAGAGGAGUGAGGGGUAGAUUUUUGAGGAUGGUGGCUGUGACUUCUGCCUCCUGGAGUCACCCGUAGUGCCCAAAGUGAGUCCCCAGCGAAUUGGAAGUACCUUCUUCUAUGUCCAUAGACUUUCAUGAGCAGUGCUCUGAAAACCAACCUUAUCUUAACUCAGUUUUAGUGGCACAUAAUCUUAACUUGGGAAGUAGGCUUAUGAACUCGACCAAAAAGGAGCAAGGGACGAACCCCAGAUCUAUCCAACCUGUAUUUUCUUCGCUUCUCCUUCUAUAGGGGAAGGGGCUUCAUAGCGUCGUCCCCCGCCACUGCCCCUGUCCCCGAAAGCGUCUUAGCUUUGCGUUGCAUGUUAACUGCCUAGGACACAAAAUUCAAGCAACAGUUCCCACCACACUCCACCGAAUACCUACCGUCCACCAGAAGCCCACAGUGUGUGGCUGCAGCCCUUAGGGAGCUCAUGGUCUAGAUUGUUUGCUCAGUGUGGCGGAAACUGGACAAGAUUGGAGUUCUGAAGAAAUGAUACUCACAGACAAGGAAUGUCCGUACCAUCCUGUUUGUGUUUGGAAAUUUUUUAAGAGACCAGAGAACUAAGGGAACAGGCCACAAUGCAACAGUUAUUCUAAGCACAGGGGACCAGCCUCGGCACUCCCACCUGCGGAAAAUUAACUAGCCACUGCCAGUAACUCCGACAGUGAAGGGGUUAAAAUAACAAAUAAAUGACUUUAUUUAGACUUGA